rnacentral:rRNA from 1 species
AGGAAUAUUGGUCAAUGGACGCGAGUCUGAACCAGCCAAGUAGCGUGAAGGAUGACUGCCCUAUGGGUUGUAAACUUCUUUUAUAUGGGAAUAAAGUGGUCCACGUGUGGACUUUUGUAUGUACCAUAUGAAUAAGGAUCGGCUAACUCCGUGCCAGCAGCCGCGGUAAUACGGAGGAUCCGAGCGUUAUCCGGAUUUAUUGGGUUUAAAGGGAGCGUAGGCGGAUUGUUAAGUCAGUUGUGAAAGUUUGCGGCUCAACCGUAAAAUUGCAGUUGAUACUGGCAGUCUUGAGUGCAGUAGAGGUGGGCGGAAUUCGUGGUGUAGCGGUGAAAUGCUUAGAUAUCACGAAGAACUCCGAUUGCGAAGGCAGCUCACUGGAGUGUAACUGACGCUGAUGCUCGAAAGUGUGGGUAUCAAACAGGAUUAGAUACCCUGGUAGUCCACACAGUAAACGAUGAAUACUCGCUGUUUGCGAUAUACAGUAAGCGGCCAAGCGAAAGCAUUAAGUAUUCCACCUGGGGAGUACGCCGGCAACGGUGAAACUCAAAGGAAUUGACGGGGGCCCGCACAAGCGGAGGAACAUGUGGUUUAAUUCGAUGAUACGCGAGGAACCUUACCCGGGCUUAAAUUGCAAAUGAAUUAUGGGGAAACCCAUACGCCGCAAGGCAUUUGUGAAGGUGCUGCAUGGUUGUCGUCAGCUCGUGCCGUGAGGUGUCGGCUUAAGUGCCAUAACGAGCGCAACCCUUAUCUUCAGUUACUAACAGGUCAUGCUGAGGACUCUGGAGAGACUGCCGUCGUAAGAUGUGAGGAAGGUGGGGAUGACGUCAAAUCAGCACGGCCCUUACGUCCGGGGCUACACACGUGUUACAAUGGGGGGUACAGAAGGCCGCUACCACGCGAGUGGAUGCCAAUCCCAAAAACCUCUCUCAGUUCGGAUCGAAGUCUGCAACCCGACUUCGUGAAGCUGGAUUCGCUAGUAAUCGCGCAUCAGCCAUGGCGCGGUGAAUACGUUCCCG